rnacentral:misc_RNA from 1 species
GUCGUAACAAGGUUUCCGUAGGUGAACCUGCGGAAGGAUCAUUACCACACCAAAGAUCCACGAUCUUUUUUUCUUGCGAAGUCAAUUUAUAAAAUGAAACUGUAUUUGUUUGCAUAUGCAUUUACGGUUGUUUGUAUUUUGGUUAUACACACCUUUCAUAUUUUGCUACAAUCACCGGCAUUCAUCCAACGACCUGAAUUCAAAAUUGAGCCGUAGUUGUCUAACAAAAUUUUGUUUUGCGACCACGGCUCGAUUGCCAAACGUAUAAAUCUAUAUACAACUUUCAGCGACGGAUGUCUAGGUUCCCA